rnacentral:rRNA from 1 species
UACGUAGGGUGCGAGCGUUGUCCGGAAUUAUUGGGCGUAAAGAGCUUGUAGGCGGUCUGUCGCGUCUGCUGUGAAAAUCCGGGGCUCAACCCCGGACUUGCAGUGGGUACGGGCAGACUAGAGUGUGGUAGGGGAGACUGGAAUUCCUGGUGUAGCGGUGAAAUGCGCAGAUAUCAGGAGGAACACCGAGUGGCGAAGGCAGGUCUCUGGGCCACUACUGACGCUGAGAAGCGAAAGCAUGGGGAGCGAACAGG